rnacentral:tRNA from 1 species
GCGCCCGUAGCUCAAUUGGAUAGAGCGUUGGAUUCCGGUUCCAAAGGUUGGGGGUUCGAUUCCUCUCGGGCGUA